CCGGCCCGGGAGCGGCUGGGGAGGGGGAGCCCGGCAGGUGCACGGAGCCAGGAGACCCCGGCGCACGCACACCCGCCGGCGGCCUGCAGCGCGGGGCCCGGGCGAGAGCGUGACUGGAGCGAUACCAGCCGGAUGCCACUAACCCUUCGGUCAGCUCUUCCUGGGGUGGACACCUUGCUCCGAGUCUGCUGGGCUUGUUGAGGUUCCCGGCCCCCACGGUGAAUCCCUCUGGUCGCCACCAGGCCCGGAGCAGCCCUGGGGGUCCCCCAGCACACACACACCUCCCCGCCGCUGCCCAGAGGAGGACUACGGACUCAGGGGCCGGUCCUGAGGCUCCCUCUGCUCCUCGACCUGACACGUUGAAACCCAGAGGCGGUCAGGACAGUCUGCCGUGUACUCCUAUCAGGGACGCCAGCCUGAAAUGAGACUCACGGGGUGCAGGCAGAGCCAGGGCAUCCCCAAAUCUGAUGGUUUCCGGUGCCUUCGGCAGUGUGUCCUGUGCCCAGGCGAGCCCGUGUAACUAGUAGGGGACUUGUAUUCAGGCAUAGAAAGAACCACACGUCCAAUACGGAAGGGGUACAUGCUCACGAGAAGUGGGGAACACCCGAGCAGGCGUGAGCAGAGGAGCAAACGUAUGCCUGAAAUGCGUGGAAAGACCUCACCCAUGACACGGAAACGCAGACUCGAGUCAAAAUAAUACUAGGCUACAGCCACCAUACCGGCAAAGAUGAAAGCUGGCAAUAGAGAGCAAGCGAUGGAGAGGGCGUGGGCCCCAGAAUUCUGGAUCACGGCCAGCAGGACAAUAAUUUGCGACCCCUUUGGAAAGCGUGUCCCCUUGGGAAAUGCCUUGUAUUACAAGACUGUUUGUAUUCCGGAAUAAUUGUGUUUAGCAGGACGAAGCCUCCCACGUGUGGCCCAGAGGCAGACAGCAGACGUGCGCCCUGGCCGUGCUCACAGAUCCCACCAUCCGUUCCCUGGGGUGCACGAGACGCCUGGGGCUCCCCCCGACGCCUGGGGCUCCCCACAUGCUGUCCGCACGUGGGGGACGUGACCGAGAGGCUGUUCAACGAUUCAGCCACUGCCACACCCAGCGUGGGUGAACCUUGGGAAUUAAACCUUGGGAAUUAAAUGUUGGCUGAGAAGCCUGCCAUGUGACUGAGCCUGAAAACGGGGGGCUGAGGCGCGUGUAGCUGUGCAAUGCUGUGUGUGAGCGUAUGUAGCACUGCAUACACACAUGAAUCCAUUCAGGGGCCCGGGUGCGAGAGCGCAGCUCGGAGCUGGAGGACCUCGGCUGGAUGAGGUAGGUCUUCCUCCAAGGGAGGCUCCAGACUGGCCGCCUUCCGGUCCCGGGGACUCCCCACCCAGAUGCCCCCCCAGCCCCCAGGCCAACGGCAGCAGACCCUGCAGCCGGACCUGGGAGCCCGGCUUACGCCGGAGCCAUGGCAGGGUGGACGGGGCGGGUGCUGCUGAAACAUGUCACUUGUGGUCUCAGGCUGGUGGGCCAGUGACCCGCUGACGACAGGUGGGGAGCUCUGGGACAUGACUUAUGAUGGCAGGACCUGCCAGAGUGAUGGCGCCAAACCACCGCCCGAGGGCCUGGCGCCGCCUGCCCCCCUGUGCCUCGGUGCGCGUGUGCCCAGCCUCCCGUGAGGCGGACCCCUCCGGCCUGCCCUGCACCUGUCUUACCGCAGGCCACCAUUCAAAGUCAGUGCCUGGAGGAAGGGACACCCUCGGGAGAAGGCAGCCGUGGCCGGUGGGGGAUGGACCACUCCUCAGGCGGGCUGCUGGCUCUCUGGGCCUCACUGUCCUCCUCAGAGAGCAGGUCUCAAGUCACGUCUCAUGGAGAUAAGCAGCGACAUUGUUACGACAAAGUAUGUAAAACCAGCUGUAAGCUAAGCGUAAUAAAUAUUACACAGAGA
rnacentral:lncRNA from 1 species